AUUUGACGAACAGGUUUGGCCAUUGUAUCAAAAUUAUACGGGUUUUAGUCUGAAUUGUCGACACGAUAUUCAACAAUGGUUGUCCAUUCAACGAUUUAACUAUACCGGUGUUUAUGUCCGAUUUAUACCGUCGGCGGUGGCGGCGACAGUCAAAUGUUGGGCCAAUUCAUUCAAACGGCGCACUUAUGACGACAUGACUGUCGACUAUAUACUGCCAGACAUUGCCGUUGAAGUCAAUCAAAUUACAUAUUUCAACGAUACAUCAGACGUGCGAAUUACGUGCAAUGUGUUUACUCGUACAACACACAAACAUUUCAAAAAAAUUGUUUCGCUAAUACCGGAUAAGAUACCGAAGCCCCAGAAAACAAAUUUAAAAUCUUUUUUCGAUCAAUUGAUCCGAAAGCCUCCGACACUGUUAAAGCAAUUCAAGGC